rnacentral:lncRNA from 1 species
GCUUUAUUUAUAUGUUUUUUGUACAUAAAUUUCUAUUUAUGCAGUUUUUAGUGGAUGAUGCUAUGGAUAAUGUCUUUCCGUGGUAACAAUUGAAGUCAACAACACUUAACGAUUGUUAUUUAAAGUUUUCAUUAGCUUUUAUGUAUUUUUCUUAUCGGUUAUGAAAAAUUCAGGACAUUUAAGCUCUUAAACUGCAAUAUUCUGCAAAUGAAAACUCCGUUUCCAAGGAAAAAAUCGGUUGCUAUGGUGAUAAAACUAAAAAAAAUCCCACACAUUUUUCUAUUAAAUUUGGUAAAGUAGUAUCCAAACUUCAUAACUACAGUGCUAACUAUUCUGUACACAUUUGCACUUUUCUGAAAAACACCAGAGAAAAUGUGGUAAUUCAGCAAAAAUCCCAAUUUCAGAAAAGUUGAAAAUAUGCAUUUUUUCACAAAAUU